UACGGAGGUGGCAAGCGUUGCUCGGAAUCACUGGGCGUAAAGGGUGCGUAGGUGGCGUCGUAAGUCGGGUGUGAAAUCUCGGGGCUUAACUCCGAAACUGCAUUCGAUACUGCGGUGCUCGAGUACUGGAGAGGAGAUUGGAAUUUACGGUGUAGCAGUGAAAUGCGUAGAUAUCGUAAGGAAGACCAGUGGCGAAGGCGAAUCUCUGGACAGUUACUGACACU
rnacentral:rRNA from 1 species